AUCAGCCGCAUACACCUUGUCUCUUCUGCCAGCGAUAGAUAUCUCUUCGGUUGUUCUGCUCAAUCCUUUCAUUAUCUAAAUUUCUAGGGUUUCAAGAUGACAAGAUCUGGUCAGCCUCACAAUAGUUCGAUUUCUGCCGGAUUCAAACCCUAUCUAAUGUUCGUCACUUUGUAUUGAUAGGGUUUGGAUCGAAUUGUUGAAUUGGUUGUCUGUCAAAUAAUCUUAAUCGAAAUUAUUUGAUAGAUUGAAGAACAGGCGAGGUCGUGGUGGUGGCCGUGGAUACGGGCAAGGUCGUGGUGGUGGCGGGUUCAAUUGAGGCUCAAGCAACAAUGAACAAUAGAGGGUUAUAUGGUGUCAUCGAGGAAUCGAGGAGUCUGAUAUUGGGAAAGGUUAUGAGAGACACGAUGGCGAUGGUUCUCGUGGUGGUCGUCAUGGCGGAUUUGCCAAUGAAGAUGUAGAGGAUGAGAUCAUCCUCGCCGUUCAUAUGAACGCCGCAGCGGGAUAGGCUAUGGCAGUCAACCUUUUAAAGGGGAUCAAUUUGGAAAGCCGUAACCUUGACCAAGAUGUGAAUUCAUGUGGUAAUAAUGAGAAAGCAACUGAUAAGAGAUACCAAGUUUUAGGAGUUCUUUUUCACGACUCCAUCGCCAUGCCAUGAUAAGCCAAGGGUGUAGUGAACGAUCUUGUGUUCACGAUAGCAAGACCUUUUAAUUGGAUUGGCUCAAGGAUGGAUUUCAAUCCAGGAAUUGAUGGUCCCAGUGAGGAUGUUUCAAGGGUUCUAACAGCAAUGAUACACUUACUAUAGCAAUUCUUCCCAACAGCUCAUGGAUGCAAAUUAUGGUCUUAAAGCAGAGAGUAUAUCGAUUUGAAGAAAACCACCUAGAAAUAGUUCCUAGUUUGUGUAGGCAUUUUCGUUUGCAACUUUUGUAGAUAGGUUUCGGUUAGAAAUGUGUCUUUAGUAUUUCAAUUGAAAACAUACAUAUUGAUUUUUGGUUAAUUUCAUUUGAUUUUAGAUUUU
rnacentral:lncRNA from 1 species